UCCACCCGAGACUCAGUGAAAUUGAACUCGCUGUGAAGAUGCAGUGUACCCGCGGCAAGACGGAAAGACCCCGUGAACCUUUACUAUAGCUUGACACUGAACAUUGAGCCUUGAUGUGUAGGAUAGGUGGGAGGCUUUGAAGUGUGGACGCCAGUCUGCAUGGAGCCGACCUUGAAAUACCACCCUUUAAUGUUUGAUGUUCUAACGUUGACCCGUAAUCCGGGUUGCGGACAGUGUCUGGUGGGUAGUUUGACUGGGGCGGUCUCCUCCUAAAGAGUAACGGAGGAGCACGAAGGUUGGCUAAUCCUGGUCGGACAUCAGGAGGUUAGUGCAAUGGCAUAAGCUAGCUUGACUGCGAGCGUGACGGCGCGAGCAGGUGCGAAAGCAGGUCAUAGUGAUCCGGUGGUUCUGAAUGGAAGGGCCAUCGCUCAACGGAUAAAAGGUACUCCGGGGAUAACAGGCUGAUACCGCCCAAGAGUUCAUAUCGACGGCGGUGUUUGGCACCUCGAUGUCGGCUCAUCACAUCCUGGGGCUGAAGUAGGUCCCAAGGGUAUGGCUGUUCGCCAUUUAAAGUGGUACGCGAGCUGGGUUUAGAACGUCGUGAGACAGUUCGGUCCCUAUCUGCCGUGGGCGCUGGAGAACUGAGGGGGGCUGCUCCUAGUACGAGAGGACCGGAGUGGACGCAUCACUGGUGUUCGGGUUGUCAUGCCAAUGGCACUGCCCGGUAGCUAAAUGCGGAAGAGAUAAGUGCUGAAAGCAUCUAAGCACGAAACUUGCCCCGAGAUGAGUUCUCCCUGACCCUUUAAGGGUCCUGAAGGAACGUUGAAGACGACGACGUUGAUAGGCCGGGUGUGUAAGCGCAGCGAUGCGUUGAGCUAACCGGUACUAAUGAACCGUGAGGCUUAACCUUACAACGCCGAAGGUGUUU
rnacentral:rRNA from 1 species